rnacentral:rRNA from 1 species
GACGAACGCUGGCGGCGUGCUUAACACAUGCAAGUCGAACGGUGAAGCGCCUUCCUUUUUGGUGGGUGUGGAUGAGUGGCGAACGGGUGAGUAACACGUGAGUAACCUGCCCCCUUCUUCUGGAUAACCGCAUGAAAGUGUGGCUAAUACGGGAUAUUCUGGGUCUGUCGCUGGAUGGGUCUGGGAAAGAUAUUGUUUCGGUGGGGGAUGGGCUCGCGGCCUAUCAGCUUGUUGUUGGGGUGAUGGCCUACCAAGGCGGUGACGGGUAGCCGGCCUGAGAGGGUGGACGGUCACACUGGGAGUGAGACACGGACCAGACUCGUACGAGAGGCAGCAGUGGGGAAUAUUGCACAAUGGGCGCAAGCCUGAUGCAGCGACGCCGCGUGAGUGAUGGAGGCCUUCGGGUUGUGAACCUCUUUCGACAGUGAAGCAGGCCUGCCUCGUUUGUGGGUGGGUUGACGGUAGCUGGAUAAGAAGCGCCGGCUAACUACGUG